UGCCAGCAGCCGCGGUAAUACGGAGGGGGCAAGCGUUAUUCGGAAUUAUUGGGCGUAAAGGGCGCGUAGGCGGCCUGAUAAGUCAGGGGUGAAAUCCCUCGGCUCAACCGAGGAACUGCCUCUGAAACUGUCAGGCUUGAGGCCGGGAGAGGGUAGUGGAAUUCCCAGUGUAGCGGUGAAAUGCGUAGAUAUUGGGAGGAACACCGAUGGCGAAGGCAUCUCUCUGGGUCGAUAUUGACGCUGAGGCGCGAAGGCGUGGGUAGCGAACGGGAUUAGAUA
rnacentral:rRNA from 1 species